rnacentral:rRNA from 1 species
UACGUAGGGUGCGAGCGUUAAUCGGAAUUACUGGGCGUAAAGCGUGCGCAGGCGGUUUUGUAAGCCAGAUGUGAAAUCCCCGGGCUCAACCUGGGAAUGGCAUUUGGGACUGCAAGGCUGGAGUGUGGCAGAGGAGACUGGAAUUCCUGGUGUAGCAGUGAAAUGCGUAGAGAUCAUGAGGAAGACCAGUGGCGAAGGCGGGUCUCUGGACAGUUCCUGACACUGAGGCACGAAGGCCAGGGGAGCAAACGGG